rnacentral:lncRNA from 1 species
GGGGAAGGCGCCCUGGGGGGGGGACAGUGCCCAGCCGAGGGACGGGGCCGGCACUAGGAGUAGGCGGCCUGGUUGGCACCAGACUUGACGAUGGUGAUGACGCUGGCAGUGGCCACUUUGGCAGGUGGCCCGUGGGCAGCCACAGUGCGGGCAAAGCCCUGCAGGGCCUCGUACUUGCCACGGAGAGUGUCAAGCUCCAGGCGCAUGGCAGCAUUCUCCCGGGCCAGCUUGUCCACCUCCCAUUCCAGCUCCAUCUUCUGCUUCUGCAGCUCUUCCUUCUGGCAGACACGCUUCACUCGACAGCUGGCAGCGUAGCCCCGAUUCUUCAGCGUCCGUCGUCGCUGCUUCAGCCUCGCCACCUCCUCCUUGGAAAGGCCCCGCAGGUGGUGGUUGAGCUCCCGCACCGACAGCCCCAUCAGCUCCUCAUCCGACAGCAGCGGCGUGUUCUCUCCCAGCUCCCGCUUCACCUUUAAUGCUUUGCUGGACAGCCCAUCCGCAGCCAUGGUCGCCCCGUACCGGCCCGGAGGCCGCGCUGUGUCGCGGCGCCGGGCUGCGCUGCGCGGGAGGGGUGCGGCGAGGCGGGAGGGCUCCCCGCGCUCCGAGCCGAUCUCCGCGCGAUUACUCACCCGCGGAUUCCUUUCAUUCAUAAAAACACAGUCAUGCGGUGACGUCACCUUCCUCUCGCCCCGCC